GAUGAACGCUAGCGGCAGGCUUAACACAUGCAAGUCGAGGGGUAGAGGAAGCUCGCUUCCUUGAGACCGGCGCACGGGUGCGUAACGCGUAUGCAAUCUACCUUGUACAGGGGGAUAGCCCAGAGAAAUUUGGAUUAAUACCCCAUAGUAUUAUUGAAUGGCAUCAUUUGAUUAUUAAAGUUCCAACGGUACAAGAUGAGCAUGCGUCCCAUUAGCUAGUUGGUGUGGUAACGGCACACCAAGGCGACGAUGGGUAGGGGUCCUGAGAGGGAGAUCCCCCGCACUGGUACUGAGACACGGACCAGACUCCUACGGGAGGCAGCAGUGAGGAAUAUUGGUCAAUGGGCGCAAGCCUGAACCAGCCAUGCCGCGUGCAGGAUGACGGUCCUAUGGAUUGUAAACUGCUUUUGUACAGGAAGAAACACUCCCUUGUGAGGGAGCUUGACGGUACUGUAAGAAUAAGGAUCGGCUAACUCCGUGCCAGCCGCCGCCGUAAGAC
rnacentral:rRNA from 1 species